rnacentral:rRNA from 1 species
UACGUAGGGGGCUAGCGUUGUCCGGAAUCAUUGGGCGUAAAGAGCGCGUAGGCGGCCCGAUAAGUCUGCUGUGAAAGUCCAGGGCUCAACCCUGGAAUGCCGGUGGAUACUGUCGGGCUAGAGUACGGAAGAGGCGAGUGGAAUUCCUGGUGUAGCGGUGGAAUGCGCAGAUAUCAGGAGGAACACCAAUAGCGAAGGCAGCUCGCUGGGACGUUACUGACACUGAGGCGCGAAAGCGUGGGGAGCGAACAGG